CAUGGAGGGUGAGAAUCCCGUUCGGUUGACCUUAUGACGCUCUACGAUACGCUCUCUAAGAGUCGAGUUGUUUGGGAUUGCAGCUCAAAAUGGGAGGUAAAUUUCUCCUAAGGCUAAAUAUCGGCGAGAGACCGAUAGCGAACAAGUACCGUGAGGGAAAGAUGAAAAGAACUUUGAAAAGAGAGUAAAAUAGUACGUGAAAUUGUUGAAAAGGAAACGAUUGAAGUCAGUCGUACCGACGAGAAAUCAACUUAUCGUGUGCGAACUUGUAGGCGUGCGUGAGUUUCGGCCUCGCUGUUUGCAUGUUUGUGCGUUUUGGGUGUACUUUUUCGUAUGGUAGGCCAACGUCAGUUUCGAUUAUCAUAAAAUGACCGGCGGAAUGUAGCUUCGAUUUCGGUUGAAGUGUUAUAGCCUCUGGUAGAUGUGGUGAUUGAGACUGAGGAUUGCAACGAAUACCCUUUGGGCUAUCCGUCUGGCCUCUGAAAGUUGCUCAGGUGCCGAAAGCGUGCUUACGGUCAUCUAAGAUAACGUUCAACAGGUUAGAACGUGAUUACAUUCGUUAAGGAUGUUGACGUA
rnacentral:rRNA from 1 species